rnacentral:rRNA from 1 species
UACGAACCGUACGAACGUUAUUCGGAAUCACUGGGCUUACAGAGUUCGUAGGCGGUCUGGUAAGUUGGGUGUGAAAUCCCUCGGCUCAACCGAGGAACUGCGCUUGAAACUACCAGACUCGAGGGAGAUAGAGGAAAGCGGAACUGAUGGUGGAGCGGUGAAAUGCGUUGAUAUCAUCAGGAACACCGGUGGCGAAGGCGCCGCUCUGGGCCGAAACUGACGCUGAGGAGCGAAAGCAUGGGUAGCAAACAGG